rnacentral:rRNA from 1 species
UACGUAGGGUGCAAGCGUUGCCCGGAUUUAUUGGGCGUAAAGGGCGCGUAGGCGGCUCGGCACGUCCAUUGUGAAAUCGCCCGGCUCAACUGGGCGGGGUCAGCGGAUACGGUCGAGCUUGAGCAAGCUAGGGGGCAAUGGAAUUCCCGGUGUAGUGGUGGAAUGCGUAGAUAUCGGGAGGAACACCAGUGGCGAAGGCGGUUGCCUGGGGCUUUGCUGACGCUGAUGCGCGAAAGCGUGGGGAGCGAUCCGG